UACCUUCUAAAGCUAUAGGCAGAUCUGAGGGGAUUUGUGAAGUGGUGUUAUUUACGACACAUACCUCCCACUACCCACUUUUUGGCGGGGAGUGGAAUGGAAAUAUUUAAUGCCUCUCUUUCUUAACAGGAGAGGUAACAACAGGUAAUGCUUUACUAACAUACCGCCGCUACAGCUACAGCCUCCUAGAACUUAAGGUGAAUUUCUCCCCUCCCCGCCUUCGCUCAAGACUUACUGUGGGUUCUAGAAAGUCAGGGAAGAGUGCCAUUGCUGCUGCAGCCUGCAGUGCUCCUGACAUGUUUUAAAACGUGUGACGCUAGGACCUAGCGCUGUUAUUGCUGCCGUAAUGAUCUGGGGUGCCAACGGUUUCCCUUUUUCUAGGACAGAAUGAUCUGAUGCCAGGAAAUACUAGAUUUUAAAAGGACCUUUUCCCUUAGGUAAUUUUCUAGCUGCAGAUGCAGAAUGAUUUUCAGUGGCAAAUUUCCCCCCAGAAGUCCCUGAAAUGGAGUUAUUACGGCUUGGAGGGGAAACAAUUGUUUCCAUUCCCACCGACUCCCUCCGCAAUGUUCCCUUCCCAGGUAAGGGAGUUUAUUACUGGCCAGCAGUGGGCAGAUGGACUUGAGAUCAAGCAAGAAAAAUGCAAACUAAAAAUAAAUUUAGUAUAGAAGGAAAACACGGAAGCGUUCCUGGGAAGGAACUGAAGAAGACCAGAAUGACUGAAGGAAACAUGGGGGCGGCCUGCAUCUCCGGCUAGCUGAGUAGCUGCUAGGAGUUACUACAGCUUUCCCAUCCUCAGUUUCUUCAUCAAUAAAAAAGAAUUAAAAUGAGAAAAUCUUUUCAUGAAUCUUAGGCACAGUGAGCAUCCCACAAAAGAGGUUGAAAAUGAAUUUAUAAAUGGGAGAAAUUUCGAUUGCAGAAUUUCUGGCAUCAGAGACUCAGAGUGCAUUUGAACCAGCCUUAGCUGCUUCGGCUGUCCCACUGGAGGCACAACUUCCAAGUGGAAAUCAAUGCAGGGUGGAGGAGGAGCAAAUGCACAGCCUCCUACAGGCUUGAAGCAUCAUGCAUUUAUUAGAUCUCGCAGUUUAACAAACUCCUGUAAAAGGCAACACUGUGAGGACUCAGGGCACUCUUCAUACCCUUACAGGCUCCAGCUGUGUCCCUCAUCUCCAAUGCCUGUCACCUGUUCUUCCACUUCUUCCCACCUGUGCUCGCAGGGAGGCUCCAGCCCUGGCUCCCGGUCUAUGUUUGGCUUCUGAGAGGCCACAGGAGGCCACCCCCCAGCCUUUUUGACUCAUUCCUAAAUGUUUCCAUGAUUAUCAUAGUCUUGAGUCUUGGAUUGUGAAUCCUCGUAACCGACACAGAGUGGCAGGAUCCCAUGUGGAAUAUCCUAUGGCCAGUCAAACAUCCGGAUACCUCAGCUGGAGAUUGCUGAGAGCUGAUCCUGAAAAAGUGAACUAUUGAUGGAACUGAGGAGGGAAAGGAGAAAUAACUUUGGAGCCAGAGCUCUGAAUGCUUCCUCAAAUUCAAAACUCAGCCUCCCCACUUACUGGUUUUGUGGCUUCAGAUGGGAAAAAAUGAAGCUGAGAGUGUUGCAAUGAACUUCCCAAGGUCAUUCAUCUGUGGCAAAAUGUUUGACAUGACGUUGGAAUUUUUUUCACAAUCUAGAAGAAAUCCUUAAUAAAGCUAUCAGAUCCUAGCUGGUUGAGUUAUUUUACAGAAGAUGAGGGCUCAGCUUCUGGAUAUUUGUUAAUGAAUAAUGAAACAUUAGGACUGCACCUUUGCCUCUGAGUAUAAUUUUGGACACAUUCUACAAAUUUUUAUUUUAAAAAAUCGUAUGGUGCUGCAAACAACCUGAAGGGUUUUUCCCCUCAUUUAUUUAAUUGGCUUAUAAUAAAUCUUUAUUUUUUUAAAUACAUUUUGUUUAAACUUUUAUCAUUACUUUUCAGUUAUGCCAUUCAUUGGCUUUGAUGUCAGAGAGCCUUGUAUGUUUAUUUUCAUACACUUGUAAUGUUUUAGUAUUUAAUUUGUCGUCUAAAAUGUGAUUUUUAAAGUAACUAUUUCAUCAGUUCUUAAAAUUAUAUACUCUGUGUUUGGAGGGUAGAAAUUUCUGUAUAAGUAUCUUCAAUUGUGCUUUAUUAACUAUUAUGUUCUGUGUUUAAGGAUGCAAAGUUUGAAAAUAUUUUCUUUUCCAGUUUUUACAAAUUUGUUUCUUUAUAAACUACUCAUCUAUCAAAAAGCUGAAUGUUUCUGUCAAUUUAACCUCGUUUUCAUAAUAGGCUUUAUUUUAUAUAUUUGAGAAAAAAAUACUUCAUGCAUAGAGAUUUAUCAUCAUUAUGGGAUUAAUUUUUAAUGGAAAACUCUUUUCUUUAUCCAGUGUAAUCUGAAGGUUAAAAAUACAUUAAUGAAUUUGGUCUUAUUUUUGUCAUAUUGUUUUAUGGUUUAAAAAAAUUUACACUUGUGCUGUAUCCUUUUUUCUCCUGCUACAUGCACUGUUAUUAAUUGAAGAAAGUACUAAUGAUUAUGAAAGAAUAAAACAUUUUGAAGUAGAACUGUAAAGACAAUUUGAUUUGCAAAAACUCAUUCCUAACAUUAAUUUGUAAAAUUGUAAAAGUCAUGAAUAAAAUAUUGCUUUGUAUUCAUCAUUUCAGGUAAA
ensembl:lncRNA